AGCGCAGGCGGUUUUUUAAGUCUGAUGUGAAAGCCCUUGGCUCAACCAAGGGAGUGCAUCGGAAACUGGAGAACUUGAGUGCAGAAGAGGACAGUGGAACUCCAUGUGUAGCGGUGAAAUGCGUAGAUAUAUGGAAGAACACCAGUGGCGAAGGCGGCUGUCUGGUCUGUAACUGACGCUGAGGCUCGAAAGGCGUGGGAGCAAACA
rnacentral:rRNA from 1 species